rnacentral:rRNA from 1 species
AGAGUUUGAUCCUGGCUCAGGAUGAACGCUAGCUACAGGCUUAACACAUGCAAGUCGAGGGGAAACGACAUCGAAAGCUUGCUUUUGAUGGGCGUCGACCGGCGCACGGGUGAGUAACGCGUAUCCAACCUGCCCAUCACUUGGGGAUAACCUUGCGAAAGUAAGACUAAUACCCGAUGAUAUCCCUAGAAGACAUCUGAAAGGGAUUAAAGAUUUAUCGGUGAUGGAUGGGGAUGCGUCUGAUUAGCUUGUUGGCGGGGUAACGGCCCACCAAGGCAACGAUCAGUAGGGGUUCUGAGAGGAAGGUCCCCCACAUUGGAACUGAGACACGGUCCAAACUCCUACGGGAGGCAGCAGUGAGGAAUAUUGGUCAAUGGGCGAGAGCCUGAACCAGCCAAGUAGCGUGCAGGACGACGGCCCUAUGGGUUGUAAACUGCUUUUAUAAGGGAAUAAAGUGAGUCUCGUGAGACUUUUUGCAUGUACCUUAUGAAUAAGGACCGGCUAAUUCCGUGCCAGCAGCCGCGGUAAUACGGAAGGUCCGGGCGUUAUCCGGAUUUAUUGGGUUUAAAGGGAGCGUAGGCCGGAGAUUAAGCGUGUUGUGAAAUGUAGACGCUCAACGUCUGCACUGCAGCGCGAACUGGUUUCCUUGAGUACGCACAAAGUGGGCGGAAUUCGUGGUGUAGCGGUGAAAUGCUUAGAUAUCACGAAGAACUCCGAUUGCGAAGGCAGCUCACUGGAGCGCAACUGACGCUGAAGCUCGAAAGUGCGGGUAUCGAACAGGAUUAGAUACCCUGGUAGUCCGCACGGUAAACGAUGGAUGCCCGCUGUUGGUCUGAAUAGGUCA